ACUGAGGGUGUCACCCGGGACCGCGGCUCAGGAACCCCAGACGCACGGGCCUUGUGCUGUCGCUGCCGUGGCACCCCUUCUAGAAGUUCUGGAGGUUAGAAGUUCCAGAUCAAGGUAUCGGCAGAUUUGGUUUCUUCUGAGGCCUCUCUCCUUGGCUUGCAGAUAGACUUCUAUCGGCUAGAAGACUUGUCUUCUCACGGUGGUGUCCUCACAUGGUCUUUCCUCUGUGCAUGCACAUGUCUGUGUGCUAAUCUCCUUAUAAAGACCAAUGAGAAACUUGCAGUUUGCAUGGUCCGAGUGUUCUCCCUAUUGCCAUAGUCCCUCUCCUCCUAUUGUAAUAAUCAUUUUGAAUCAAGUCUCUCCUUACCCAAAUCCACAUUUGUUUUUAUUUGCCAUUUCCGUCCUGCUUACCAUGUGUUUAGCUGUGGCAGCCUAGUGGGAAUUGAGCAAAUACAUAGCCAACUACAACCUAGGAAGGUAUGUAUUGUGCAGGGCCUGUUACAUCAUUUUCAUGUAAGAUGAAAAUGCUGAAUGCCUUAUUCAAAAGACAAAGGCAAAAGUGCCCCUGAAGUACUAAAAUAUGUUUUUGCUUUUCUUCUAUAGUCUCUCUCAACUUGUUACGGUGUCUCUUUUAAUUUAGUGUAAUUGUAAAUAAAUAAAAAUUAAAUUUUUUAUUAGCAUGAA
rnacentral:lncRNA from 1 species